rnacentral:rRNA from 1 species
GACGUAGGGCGCGAGCGUUGUCCGGAUUUAUUGGGCGUAAAGAGCUCGUAGGCGGCUUGUCGCGUCGACCGUGAAAACUUGGGGCUCAACCCCAAGCCUGCGGUCGAUACGGGCAGGCUAGAGUUCGGUAGGGGAGACUGGAAUUCCUGGUGUAGCGGUGAAAUGCGCAGAUAUCAGGAGGAACACCAGUGGCGAAGGCGACUACCUGGCCUGUUUCUUGACGCUGAGGCGCGAAAGCUAGGGGAGCAAACGGG